rnacentral:rRNA from 1 species
CGCGUAGGUGGUAGUGCAAGUCUGAGAUGGAAUCCCAGGGCUUAACCCUGGAACUGCCUUGGAAACUGCACUACUUGAGUCAGUGAGGGGAGGGUAGAAUUCCUGGUGUAGCGGUGAAAUGCGUAGAUAUCAGGAGGAAGGCCGGUGGCGAAGGCGGCCCUCUGGCGCUGAACUGACACUGAGGCGCGAAAGCGUGGGUAGCAAACAGGAUUAGAUACCCUGGUAGUCCACGCCCUAAACGGUGGGUACUAGGUGUAGGGCUCGUAAGGGUUCUGUGCCGAAGCGAAAGCAUUAAGUACCCCGCCUGGGGAGUACGGCCGCAAGGUUGAA